GCGGCGAGUGGCGAACGGGUGAGUAAUACAUAGGAAUCUGCCCAUGUAGUGGGGGACAACUUCGGGAAACCGGAGCUAAUACCGCAUACGUCCUACGGGAGAAAGCGGGGGACCUUCGGGCCUCGCACUAUUGGAUGAGCCUAUGUCUGAUUAGCUAGUUGGUAGGGUAAAAGCCUACCAAGGCGACGAUCAGUAGCUGGUUUGAGAGGAUGAUCAGCCACACUGGGACUGAGACACGGCCCAGACUCC
rnacentral:rRNA from 1 species